GUCCUUUUGAUUUUUAUAUAAGGUCUGACCUGCCCUAUGAAUAUUUAAAUGGCCGCGGUAUACUAACCGUGCAAAGGUAGCAUAGUCAUUUGUCUCUUAAUUGGAGGCUUGAAUGAAGGGUUGGACGAGAUAUAAGCUUUCUUUGUUAUAUUUUAUUGAAUUUGACUUUUGAGUUAAAAGGCUUAAAUUUUUUUAUAGGACGAGAAGACCCUAUAGAAUUUUAUAUGUUUGUAUAAUUAAUUUAUUUAUUUAUUAUUUAAUUUCUUGUUUAAAUAUAUUUUGUUGGGGCGAUGGGAAGAUUUUAAUAACUCUUUUUUGUUUUGAUCAUUGAUUUAUGUUUUAUUCUGAUCCUUUUUUUAGAGAUUAUAAGAUUAAAUUACCUUAGGGAUAACAGCGUAAUUCUUUUGGAGAGUUCUUAUCGAUAAAAGAGUUUGCGA
rnacentral:rRNA from 1 species